rnacentral:lncRNA from 1 species
GUAGUGCCGUGCUUAUGCAAUCUGCAACUAUUAGAGUGUUUGGAAUUCUUUCUUCUUUUAAUUCUAUUUUCAUGUUUAAUUUAACUUGCUGUUCAAUUAUGUUAAACAUGUGGAACUAAUUUCUUUUUGGCUAGAGGUUAAUUCAAAGCCAUGAAUAUAUUUGUAAUAUGAAUUGAUUACCUUCAGUUGUGAUUUCUGAGUUGUGAUUUAAUUUGCUUAACUGCUUGAUUGAUAACUUAUUUUUGUAUGUCAAUUAAGAAUGCAUACUUAAUUUACAUGCAUGAAUUUGAUGCUAGAAUAUAAGUGAAUUUCACCUAAUCGUUAUGAACUUAUAUUCACAAGUAGUGAAGGUUGUUAUCCACAAUCGUGUUAAGUGAAUUCUAGGCUGGAUUAACAUCCGUAUUCCAUAGUUAUGAAUGCCUAGUCAAUGUUUAUGAUUUCCGUUGAACUUAAUGAUCUUUGUUGAAUGUCUCUAUCAUGGGUAUUCCAUAGUUAGGGACUUUGAUGAGGAAUAAUUUGGUUGUAAUGUGUAUUCCAUUCAAUCCAAUGAAUCUAGGGAAAUGUAAGAGUUAAUUUAAGCGGACCUAAUUAACUUGGAACAUUGUCAUUCACAAUUUAUUGAAAGAACAACU